AAUAGACUUUUCCACUUCAUCU
rnacentral:miRNA from 1 species